CAGCUAGAACAAGUUGAGUGGGGCUGCAACGCAUCCUGGGUUUCUGGGAUGACUUGUGAACUUGUUCAUUGUCUGCCUGUGCUGUGUGUGGACCCUGGGACAACGCAGGGGCAGCAGAUGAUUCGUUUGUGAAGACUUUGCAGCGUUUUCUUCAUGGAUUGACUGGGACAAGCAGUUCUACCCCAAAUAAGCAGCUCCCUGGGUCUCAGCCUGCAAUCUCACUCAGACAGAAGACUGUGUCCUCUAGGGUGCUAGGAGGCAGCUAAAAUAUGAAGAAACCCUCACUUGGCUUUUUCUGCUGAGAUGAAAUUUAGCACCAAAGCGCAAUCCCCGAGGCAGCAGGGAUUCUGAUGUCUGCUGGUGGCUGUGCAUGCUGUCUGCUUGGAGCAAAGGGGGUGUUCAGCUCAGCGGAGCAGCAGGAGAAACGUGUAGGAAACAAAGAUGCACCACCAUAGGUACCUCCAUUGAAAAAAGAAAAUAAAGAAGAAAUCAUGAGAUCGAAUGUGCCACGGAAAUCCCUUAGUGUCACUGGAGCUCCAUCCUUCUCACUCAUACUAAGCCAAUUCCUGGGUGAAUCUGUAGCUCUGGGACUGAAAAACAAUCAAAGUGGACUCUUCCCUAUUCCCACCAAAGGCUUC